GUUCAGAUGGCCGAGUGGUUAAGGCGUUGGACUGCUAAUCCAAUGGGGUCUCCCCGCGUGAGUUCAAAUCUCACUCUGAACG
rnacentral:tRNA from 1 species